rnacentral:rRNA from 1 species
CGUUUAGGGGUAAACCUGAGAAACCCGAAAGGUCGAAGGGAGAAAUUCAUUCGCGUUUCGUUGUAGGCGUUAGGUGGAGUUGUGUGACGAAAGGCGUUCGCGUUUUUCGCACCCUCUAUUUGACGAACCGAUGACGAACGCGUGCACUUUUCUCCUGGUAGGACGUCGCGAUCCGUUGGGUGUCGGUCUACGGCACGUGGUGGAGCCCGUUUGUCAUUACGUACGAACGGACCCAUGUUGACCUGGCCGACUCGCUCGACGGUAUACGAAAGGUUAAGGGCCGCUCAUUUGGAGCGUCCGACUUGUGGCAAGCGCGCCAGAUGUGUUGGCGAUCGGACCUAGUGCCGAUUCUGACCUCUGGUGACUGUUGGCUACAAAGUUCUUGGACAGACCCGAUUUUUUGACCGAUCUGCGACGCUAUAGCUUUGGGUACUUUCAGGACCCGUCUUGAAACACGGACCAAGGAGUCUAGCAUGUACGCGAGUCAUUGGGAAUCACUAAACCUAAAGGCGAAAUGAAAGUAAAGGUCUUCCUAGCGGAGACCGAGGGAAGACGGGCGGUUUACCCUUAAAAGUGGCCGCCCCGCAUUCCCGGGGCGUCUCGUUCUCAUUGCGAGAAGAGGCGCACCAAGAGCGUACACGCUGGGACCCGAAAGAUGGUGAACUAUGCCUGGUCAGGACGAAGUCAGGGGAAACCCUGAUGGAGGUCCGUAGCGAUUCUGACGUGCAAAUCGAUCGUCUGAACUGGGUAUAGGGGCGAAAGACUAAUCGAACCAUC